rnacentral:rRNA from 1 species
GAUGAACGCUGGCGGCGUGCCUAAUACAUGCAAGUCGAGCGAACAGAUGAGAAGCUUGCUUCUCUGAUGUUAGCGGCGGACGGGUGAGUAACACGUGGGUAACCUACCUAUAAGACUGGGAUAACUCCGGGAAACCGGGGCUAAUACCGGAUAAUAUAUUGAACCGCGUGGUUCAAUGUUGAAAGACGGUUUCGGCUGUCACUUAUAGAUGGACCCGCGCCGUAUUAGCUAGUUGGUAAGGUAACGGCUUACCAAGGCAACGAUACGUAGCCGACCUGAGAGGGUGAUCGGCCACACUAGAACUGAGACACGGUCCAGACUCCUACGGGAGGCAGCAGUAGGGAAUCUUCCGCAAUGGGCGAAAGCCUGACGGAGCAACGCCGCGUGAGUGAUGAAGGUCUUAGGAUCGUAAAACUCUGUUGUUAGGGAAGAACAAAUUUGUUAGUAACUGAACAAGUCUUGACGGUACCUAACCAGAAAGCCACGGCUAACUACGUGCCAGCCGCCGCGGUAA